rnacentral:lncRNA from 1 species
CUGAAGAAGAGCCUGUCCUUGCCAGGACUGCCCUGCCCCACAUCCCAGAAACCCCAGCUCCAUCAAAGGAUCGUGGAAGAUGCCCAGAGAGGACAUUUCUGAAGUUUCAAAUGUCUCCAGGAGCCUCUGCUCCUUGGUUGCAGCAGAAAUGGUGGCCCCAUGUACCAGCCUCAUACCAUGAUGGCAGAAAACCUUGUGUACCUGCACGGGCAUCAUGGGAUAUAGAGCAUGUUCCUGGAGACAGUGGUGCGGCCACUGAUCCCUACAGUGGCAGGCACCAGCUGCUGGAAACGUGGGAUUGGAGCCUUGGAGGGAAACCAGAGCUCCCAGGGCCACACCAAAGGAGAUAGCUGGCUUGCCAGGUGUUUCUCUGACAAUUAGCCAUGUGGGCAAACCUUGAGUCCUGGGGGCACUUCUAAAAGUGGUCAGGGCACCAGGACAGGAGGACAAACUCCAGACCCCCGCAGGUUCUACAGGUGCUUGGAAUUUGCAAUCAACAGGACUUCCAGAAGAAGAUUCUACAGGACCUCCAGAAGAAUCUGGGGGCUGAAUUUCUCAUAGCUUGAAUGUUGGAGUCAAGAAAAUCCCUAGACUUGGAAUCAGAAGCCUGGGGUUCUAAUCAUAGCCUGCAUGUAGCAGGUGCACGCAAACAUGGUUUUAAGGCAAGAGAGAGAAAACUGAUAACAUGGGAUAUCAUGUCACAGCUCCUCAUCUGACCGGCGCAUGAGCCAGGCCCUGGCUCUGCAAAUGCACCUGAUGUUCUUUUUCACAUUGUCUCAGCAGGAGCCUGAUCCAUUUCACAGAGGAAGAAACUGAGGCUCAGGGAGACUACGUCCCUCGCCCCAGUCCUGCAAGCUGGUCAGCAGUAGAGCCAGGAGGCAAGCCCAGGCCACUGGUGGUAAAAGCCUUGGCCCUCCACCACCAGACCUCCUACCUAAGAAGAGAACAAUGCAGCCCCAAAGCCUGGGUUUCCUCAGCAAAUGCUGGAGUCUCCGAAAAAGAGCUCAGAUGACUCUGGGUUCUACAACUCUCCGCCUCCAUUAUUACAGCCCAAUGCUCCCGUUCCCAGACUCACUAGGCAGAGGCUGGAUCCUGCCUGAUUCAUUCCUUUAAUCAGGGCUGAAGCAGCUUCCUGAAGAACACUUAGACCCUCGUUAAAAUUAAGUCAUUGCUUUAAUAACCACAGGGCAGAGAUGGCUGCAGCUGGGAGCGUGUGAGCUCUCAGCACUCCCCAUGGGUCUUGAUGAGCUGGGCACUGCCGUGGGAUACCAGGUGCUCCAAUUUCUCCACUUCACAUCUGAUGCCUUUCUCCUUUUCUCCCAGGGCCACACCAAAGGAGAUAGCUGGCUUGCCAGGUGUUUCUCUGACAAUUAGCCAUGUGGGCAAACCUUGAGUCCUGGGGGCACUUCUAAAAGGUAUGCUGCUAUGGGGUUCUGGCUCCAAAUCCAGAGAAGUGUUCAAGAGAAGCUUGAAAAAAAAAAAAAACACUGCUCAGAGCAGUUACAUUACUUGCCCAGGAGGACACAACCAGCUAGAGGGAGCACAGGAUCUGAAACCCAAGUCUGUGUAAACCUUAAACCCAACACAGUAUAUUCCUCUUACCUCAUCACAUGGUGUCAGUGUGUCUUCGUGGGUCCCACAAAGGCACCUGUUCCGGGGACAAGUGCCAUCUCACCUGGGAGGACAGACCUGCCAUUGUUACUCACUAGCUCUGAGAGUUGAGGUAAAUUGCCUGACUUUUCUGUGCCUCAAAUUCUUCAUCUGUCAUACAGGAUAUCAGAUUAUUGUGAAGCUUGAAUGAGACAAUAAAUGUGCAAAUGCUCUGUCAAUUGUAAAGU